rnacentral:lncRNA from 10 species
GCGGGGAUGAGGCUUCAGGAAGGAAUGCCCCGCUCAGGAGCCCCCCCCAGAGCCCCACCGGGAACUCAUCUCUCCGCCUGGUGACGUCACGUUGGCCCGAGCACUGCAGCCCGAGUCCAGCUGUUCAUCUCCCUCACAUUCUGCUGCUCGGCAGGGCUGCCCAGGAGAGGGAGCACCGGCUGUACACUUGCCUGGCGUCUUUGGUCUGCCCCCAGUGGGCAUUUCGGGGCAGGCUGGCCCAGGAGGGGCUAGUCCCCACCCCGUUGUUUUAAUUUACUCAGGGGCUGAUACAGAGCAGUGGGGGGCAGCAGGGCGAGGGCUCCAUGGAGGGGCAGUGCAGAACUGGCAGAGGUGGUCAGCACCGCCCAAGCGGCACCCCUCCCCCUUCCCACCCCGGACUCGGCCUGGGCCCCCUGGGGGCUUAUGGAACCAGGAAUUCCCUUUUCCCCAGCCCUAAUAGCAAUCAGAUGGCGCAAGUGGAAAAUCACGGCGCUCGGCAAGCAAGCUGGAAAUUGGCGGGCUGUGGUGCCUGGUGCCUGCGCUGCUCAGCGGGAGGAUGAGUCAGGAGUGUAGUGCCCAGACUGGGAGAGAUGUGCCUCUGUGGGCAUCUUGAAGGGAAAUGAGAAGCGGAGCUGCCCCUGCACCUGCGCUGGGAGCUGCCUGCCUCCUGCUUGUCCUGGCCAUGUGCGAACCUCAGCGUGGAAGAGGGACUCUCGCACUGCUCCCUGCGCGGCUCAGCUGGCCUCCUGGGAAGCCACAAGAAACUAAUCCAUGGGGAUGGCCAGGCCUGAUUAGCUGGGGUGGGGCUGGAGGCUCCUCUACAGAGAUGAUGCUUACACUGAGACCUGAAGGAGAAGGAGGAGGUGGCUGCUCACGCAACCCACAGGAAAGUGUUCCAGGAUCAAGAACAGCAGGUGCAAAGGCCCCGUGAUGGAAAGGAUUGGUGCACUAGGAGAACAAAGGCAGCCUGGACACCAGGUUUGGUCUACCUCGUCCACACCCGCCUGCUUCUGUCCCGCCUUAAGCGGAUCCGUGAUGUCCCGUCAUUAGACCUUCAAUUUCAGCACAGGACUGAAUAACUAACCUUCAAAAAGUUUGCAGUAGCCUUGUCACUCCUAAAAAUAACAAAUAAUUCCUUAAACAUCAUUCAACAUCCAAUCAGUGUUUGCACACUUUUUUUACAGCUCUGCAUGUGUGUCACAAGCUAAACAAGGCCCGUGAGUGGAUGUGCUUCUUUUUGGGGUUGGGGAGAGACGGUGUCUCACUCUGUUGCCCAGGCUGGAUUGCAGUGGCAAGAUCUUGGCUCAUUGUGUCUCCCGGGUUCAAGCGAUUCUUCUGCCUCAGACUCUUGAGUAGCUGGGACUACAGGCAGUGCCACCACGCCUGGCUAAUAUUUGUAUUUUUAGUGGAGACGGGGUUUCACCAUGUUGGUGAGGCUGGUCUCAAACUCUUGACCUCAUGUGAUCCCCCGACCUCGGCCUCUCAAAGUGCUGGGAUUACAGGUGUGAGACACCGUGCCCUGCCUGAUGUGCUCCUUUUAAUGACAGGUUCCCCGCAGCAUCUCCCUGUCCCUCUUCC